rnacentral:lncRNA from 1 species
UUAUUUCUUUACAUAAGUGUACAAUUUUAUUAUGUUUAAAAUAUAUGUUAUUUUUAAUAAUUGAUUAUUAUUCUUAUGGCUCAUGAAUUGUUUUGAUUCAGGACUGACAAAAUAGAUCUUCCAAUUUUCUAUUUGAUUUAUGGUUUGAUAACACCACCAGAGAGAUCUCUUCACGUUACUUCACAUUAUUUGUGCUUACUAUCGUUUUAAAGAUAUGCAUAUGCUAUCAGACUAACACUGGCUUUUGCAAAAUCAUGGUGGCUUUUUGUGAUUUCGGCAAAUCCACUGUGUACCAAACACGGACUUAAAAUUCUUUUUGGCUGUUCAUAAAUAUCGUUGUCGAUCUUGAAAGUUUCUUUUCUAACUUUGUACCGUAGGUAUUUGGCGGAAAAAACCCUUUACCUCCUUACCCGACAGAGAACAACCACAUUAUCUCCAUUAAA